rnacentral:lncRNA from 1 species
AUGGGAUGAAGGAAUCUAUUGUGUUGGGAAAACUCCUCACGGAUGGCUUGGGAUGUUGCAUCUGGAAACCACAUGCAUGGAACGAGCGCGUGGAUGGAAGGUGAUUCUGGAAAGCUGGCUGCAUUGCAGGAUGAGCUCCAUCACGUGAAGAUGCUGGCUUGACUUGAACUCGGGCUGCCGGGCAUUGGGCUCAAACCCAAUGUUCUUGGAUUACUUGCAGUCAAACACAAA